UGCUUUGAAGUUAUACCCUUGGCCGUAGACGUAACAGCUAUUGCUUUGACAGAAUGGGUAAAAAAGUAUGACUGUGACUUUGUUAUGACCUCUAGUCGAGAAUAGGAAGAAAUGGGAGAAGUGAGAUUAUGCUUUCCCAGAACAAGCUUCCAAACAUCUUUGUUGUCAGCUCGAGACUGGUCAAAAAUUUCAAUGACUGACAUCUCAUAUCUGUGUGCUCUAAGAUUAAAGUAGUGGUAGACAACCCAGUUUUCACUAAAAACCGCAUGGACAGGACCAUGUGAGCCAUGAUGAGUCAUGCGAUGCAAUAUACGACCAGUUACUGAAUCGAUAAGAUAAGCAACCAACCAUGAUUCCUCUGGAGUAGCUGAUCCAAUACCUCCAGUGGCCUUUGGUGCAACAGUCACCACGAAAAGUAAAUUUUUUGAUAUAUAUUUAUACAUCACAUCUUGGUCUGCUAUAACCUUUGCCUGAGUAUGAACCACCUCAUUCAACUUUCUUGUCACAGUUGUGAUGAUCUUUUCUGACUCCAAAGGAAAUACAAUCGACCAUAUCUCCUUGGUUUCAAAGUAAUAUUCAUCUGAUACUUCGCCAAUGCAAUUGUCCUUCAACACAUGUCCUUUAAUAAUGCCAUCAUCAGCCUCAACUGAGUACCAGUAAAUGUUAGAAAACUCACGCUGAAAAAUACCAACAGCCUCAGGGUUUUUUGGGUAUAAAUGUGCUCGUUGUUUAGCAUCUAUUAGCAGAUGUAGCCGUUGUUCAUUUGAAUCUGUAAAUGGAAGCAAAAUCACUUGGACAACAGAAUGAACAAGACUGGAAGAACCAAGCUCCUUCCCCGUGUAAGUAUCAACAAAAGAAAGUACACCAGGUGCAUCUGAAUUUGAUCUACACCUGCCAACUACCAGAACAGAUGGAUUCUCAUCCAUCGCAUGGUGAUGAGGAACCCGCCACUGAUACAAAUUAAGCCCAGUUGGGUUUUCACAUGUUUCUGAUUUACGCAGAGAAUUUAACAAGAGAGACCACACAAUCCGUCCAUCUCCAGUAUGCAAGGCAAAAACCUUCCCAGAUUUAGUAAGCACAAUUAGCAGCUUCCGGAACCCAUUAUGGUCUCGGGUCAUUUUGCUCUUCUCAGAGCUUUUCAACCUCAUGGCUUGUAUGUUCACGACCUCCUCAGGGCUUGCAAGCAUUAAGGUGCCCUUAAUUUUCAGAAUAUGUCCCUUGAGCCAUUCGAAAAGGUUCUCUUCCACUUUUGCUACCGAUACGCCUUCCUUUUCCACAGGAAGUUCGGAUGUUGUUGCAUCUAUAACAGAGGCAAGGCCAUCCUCCCUACACCAGACAAUCUCACCUUGUUGUAGCAGUAAAAGUGAAUGAUCUUCCAUGACAAUCAAAGCCCUAAACCCAUGAGACCUAUCUGUCCGGAUAUAAUUGUUUAUGAAAACCUUAUGGACCAAACCUCUUUGGUCGUCCAAUUUAAUGCUUUCCUUAAGCAAAUCACUAUUCCACUCUUGCCCAAGCUUCACUGUAAGGUAAAUGUCAUUGUUGUAAUGUUCAACCAAUGCAAAUGCUUGUUGACCCUCGGAGAAUGAGAGAGCAUCACUAACAGCUGUUACAUGAUUGAUUUUAUCUACCACCUCCAACUUUCCUUCAUCUGUCACUCUUAUAAAUAUCAUAAAUGUAGUGGUUUUCAAAGCAAAUAUUCCAGCAAGUUUUGAAGGUAAUAUCGUUGCCAUCCCUAAGGACUCUUUAAUCAGAUCUGAUAUGUCUGUUUUCUGAAAGUUGAUUUCUCCAUUAUGAAAGUUCACUUUUAUCAAAGUUGAACCAGUGGAAUCCAUCAUAACAAGUGUGUUACUAGAAACUAAAGAAACUUCCCCUGAAAAACCACCAGAUAAUGCCGCACUUUCAUGCUUCAGCAGCUCUCCAUUCUUUGCAUUCAUUUGGUACACAUUAAACUGAGAUGAACCAACAAAUCCUACAACAUAUAUUAUAUCACUUCCAAGAGGCUGAAUCACAUGCUGAACCUCAAAACUUUCAGCAGCAAAAUCCUUCUGCCAGAGAAUCUCGCCACGUAUGCUAGAAACAGCAUGGAGGCCUCCUUUACCAAACACAAUAAUCACAUUGUCCUUGACAACUUUCAAGCUUGUCGGCACCAACAAUAACGAUUUUGAGUGAUUUGGGCCCUUAAGAAAUGAUUCCCACACCAUCUGCCCAUCAGGAAGAUUCCAUGCUCUUAGAAUACUCCCCUCUGAUGAAAGGGUAAUGACGUAUUUCCCCAAGGCAAUAUCAAUUCUGUCAAUAGCAUCAUUGCUCCCAAGAACAUGCCUCCAAAAAAUCUCGCCAUGCCGAAGAUCAAGGGAAGCUAUAACAUUCUCUUCAGUGGAAACAACAACGCGCUUUCUACCAGUCUUCUGUGUAUGGAAUACUGCGUCCUUCACUUUCCCUAUGUAUUGUUGAUGCCAGUCCAUGAGGCCUACUUGAUCUUCGUAAAGUGAAAAGGUAGUGAUUGUGGUCGACAAGAAUAAAAGGGAAAUAAGAAAAACCCUAAUCGCCAUGUCAACGGCAAAGAGACCUCUGUUUUCUCUCUCUUUCUCAGUGACGAGGGAGACAGAUCUGAGAAGACGAUGCUGCGGCUGCUCCGUGAGAAGCGAAAGAACAAAUUAGGC
rnacentral:misc_RNA from 1 species